rnacentral:rRNA from 2 species
UGCCUUANNUGCAAGUCGAACGGUAACAGGUCUUCGGAUGCUGACGAGUGGCGAACGGGUGAGUAAUACAUCGGAACGUGCCCGAUCGUGGGGGAUAACGAAGCGAAAGCUUUGCUAAUACCGCAUAAGAUCUAAGGAUGAAAGCAGGGGACCGCAAGGCCUUGCGCGAACGGAGCGGCCGAUGGCAGAUUAGGUAGUUGGUGGGAUAAAAGCUUACCAAGCCGACGAUCUGUAGCUGGUCUGAGAGGACGACCAGCCACACUGGGACUGAGACACGGCCCAGACUCCUACGGGAGGCAGCAGUGGGGAAUUUUGGACAAUGGGCGAAAGCCUGAUCCAGCCAUGCCGCGUGCAGGAUGAAGGCCUUCGGGUUGUAAACUGCUUUUGUACGGAACGAAAAGACUCUGGUUAAUACCUGGGGUCCAUGACGGUACCGUAAGAAUAAGCACCGGCUAACUACGUGCCAGCAGCCGCGGUAAUACGUAGGGUGCGAGCGUUAAUCGGAAUUACUGGGCGUAAAGCGUGCGCAGGCGGUUAUAUAAGACAGAUGUGAAAUCCCCGGGCUCAACCUGGGAACUGCAUUUGUGACUGUAUAGCUAGAGUACGGUAGAGGGGGAUGGAAUUCCGCGUGUAGCAGUGAAAUGCGUAGAUAUGCGGAGGAACACCGAUGNCGAAGGGCAAUCCCCUGGGACCUGUACUGACCCCNNNNCAACGAAAGCGUGGGGAGCAAACAGGAUUAAGAUUACCCUGGUUAGUCCACCGCCCCUAAACGAUGUCAACUGGUUUGUUGGGUUCUUCACCUGACUUCAGUAACGAAGCUAACNGCGUGGAAGUUGAACGNNCCUGGGGGAGUACGGCCGCCAGCGNUUGAAUGANAACNUCGAAAGNGAACUUGGACGGNGNGAACCCCGCACCAAGCCGGGNGGGAAUGGAAU